UACGCCGGGACGACUCCGGCGCUGA
rnacentral:SRP_RNA from 1 species